CAAUAGAAUAUUAAAGUUACCGUGAAAUCAUAGAAGAAAAUAAAAUAUUUUACAAAUUAUUAUUUAUUUUUUUUUUUGAACGCUAAUGCUGCUAACGCGUGUGCCACUGUUUCAGAAGGGAAGUUGUAAGAGAGGAUGUAUAGAGUAAUUCGAAUACGUUUAGCGAUAAGCUGUUGCUAACGAAAAACGAUACUGAGCAAAGUAUUAGUCGUAUUUUUCAUUUUUCGCCGAGAUAACCAGAAACCAACAAAACACCAAAAAAGAUCAAAAAUUCAAUAAGAAAAUGUCUAUACAUUUUCGAUUAAAAAUAGAUAAUAGAUACAAAAAACACGCAUACACAUACUCACACACAUCAUAGUAAAACCAAUGCAUUCCUCGUUCAGAAUAUAAAACGACAUAUGGACUAUAACAUUUGUUCGAGUGAUGGAAUAUCUGACCUAGAGUUAGACUCAACAGUACUGCACUUGAUCCAGACAGUUUAUGAUGUUCACAUAAAGUUUUAGAGUAACGUCUGUAUGAUUGUGAAUUAAUGUAAUAAUUUAAUAAGUGUAUACGUUUUGAGCUGUAUUCAAUUUUGUUCAUUCUGCUACAAGUUAAUCGACUUUAAAGGGUUGUAUCGCAACAAAAUACAUACAAUUUCUAGGGGACCUAUGUAGGCAAUUUAUAUGUAUAUAAUAUUAUAUAAAUAAAAAUCUCGUGAAGUUAGUG